GACGAACGCUGGCGGCGUGCUUAACACAUGCUAGUCGAACGGUGAAGCGCCUUCCUUUUUGGUGGGUGUGGAUGAGUGGCGAACGGGUGAGUAACACGUGAGUAACCUGCCCCCUUCUUCUGGAUAACCGCAUGAAAGUGUGGCUAAUACGGGAUAUUCUGGGUCUGUCGCAUGAUGGGUCUGGGAAAGAUAUUGUUUCGGUGGGGGAUGGGCUCGCGGCCUAUCAGCUUGUUGGUGGGGUGAUGGCCUACCAAGGCGGUGACGGGUAGCCGGCCUGGGAGGGUGGACGGUCACACUGGGACUGAGACACGGCCCAGACUCCUACGGGAGGCAGCAGUGGGGAAUAUUGCACAAUGGGCGCAAGCCUGAUGCAGCGACGCCGCGUGAGGGAUGGAGGCCUUCGGGUUGUGAACCUCUUUCGCCAGUGAAGCAGGCCUGCCUCGUUUGUGGGUGGGUUGACGGUAGCUGGAUAAGAAGCGCCGGCUAACUACGUG
rnacentral:rRNA from 1 species